GAAAAUGCGCCAGAUGUCGCCUAACUGCUGUGGCCCGAAACUUAAGCGGCUAAAAAAAGUGAGAAGAUUGUAUUUUAAAAAGUAAAAGUAUACUGCGGCGGUAAUAUAUAAUCCUUUAUUAACAAUCAAGCAAUAAUGCGUUCUGGUUGCAGUGAAAUAUGCGAUUAUGGAAGAAUGUAUGCAAUUCAAUGCACCUGUAAUAGCUUUGUUAAAAAGCGCCAGAUGUCGCUUCCGUAGUUAGUGAAAAGAUCGCGAAAGUGCAAGUCGGAAUUUGCAAGCCCGAGUGUGAUUUAAUUGAAAAAAGAGAUAUAAAGCAUAUAAAAAGCAGAUGGCAAACAUUGUACAGAUUUACGUGUGAUGGGACUACGAAAAAAAGUUUAUUCGGUUUAAAGAACAUGCGCCGCACAAAUCGAGCCGUGAAGUAAUAUAUGAUCUCAGUGAAGCUCAAAGCACUGCAGCCCAGAAAGAAGCCCACCAGGCCGCCAAUAUAAACUGGAAAAGAAAAGAGUUCCUUAAGGUUUUCUCCAUACAGGUAUUGUCCCCGAAAACUCACCCAAGACA